UACGUAGGGGGCAAGCGUUGUCCGGAUUUAUUGGGCGUAAAGAGCGUGUAGGCGGUUUGGUAGGUCCGCUGUGAAAACUCGAGGCUCAACCUCGAGACGCCGGUGGAAACCAUCAGGCUAGAGUCCGGAAGAGGAGAGUGGAAUUCCUGGUGUAGCGGUGAAAUGCGCAGAUAUCAGGAGGAACACCAACAGCGAAGGCAGAUCUCUGGGACGUAACUGACGCUGGAGAACGCGGAAAGCGUGGGGAGCAAACACGG
rnacentral:rRNA from 1 species